rnacentral:tRNA from 1 species
CAGAGAAUAGUCUAAGCAGGAUUUUAGCUUUGGGAGUUGAAGGUGGAAGUUUAACUCUUCUUUUUCUGA